rnacentral:rRNA from 1 species
AUUGAACGCUGGCGGCAUGCUUUACACAUGCAAGUCGAACGGCAGCACAGAGAAGCUUGCUUCUUGGGUGGCGAGUGGCGAACGGGUGAGUAACAUAUCGGAACGUACCGAGUAAUGGGGGAUAACUAAUCGAAAGAUUAGCUAAUACCGCAUAUUCUCUGAGGAGGAAAGCAGGGGACCUUCGGGCCUUGCGUUAUUCGAGCGGCCGAUAUCUGAUUAGCUAGUUGGUGGGGUAAAGGCCUACCAAGGCGACGAUCAGUAGCGGGUCUGAGAGGAUGAUCCGCCACACUGGGACUGAGACACGGCCCAGACUCCUACGGGAGGCAGCAGUGGGGAAUUUUGGACAAUGGGCGCAAGCCUGAUCCAGCCAUGCCGCGUGUCUGAAGAAGGCCUUCGGGUUGUAAAGGACUUUUGUCAGGGAAGAAAAGGCUGUUGCUAAUAUCGACAGCUGAUGACGGUACCUGAAGAAUAAGCACCGGCUAACUACGUGCCAGCCGCCGCCGUAACAC